rnacentral:rRNA from 1 species
UGGGGAAUAUUGCACAAUGGGCGCAAGCCUGAUGCAGCGACGCCGCGUGGGGGAUGACGGCCUUCGGGUUGUAAACUCCUUUCGCUAGGGACGAAGCUUUUUGUGACGGUACCUAGAUAAGAAGCACCGGCUAACUACGUGCCAGCAGCCGCGGUAAUACGUAGGGUGCGAGCGUUGUCCGGAAUUACUGGGCGUAAAGGGCUCGUAGGUGGUUUGUCGCGUCGUCUGUGAAAUUCCGGGGCUUAACUCCGGGCGUGCAGGCGAUACGGGCAUAACUUGAGUACUGUAGGGGUAACUGGAAUUCCUGGUGUAGCGGUGAAAUUCGCAGAUAUCAGGAGGAACACCGAUGGCGAAGGCAGGUUACUGGCCAGUUACUGACGCUGAGGAGCGAAAGCAUGGGUAGCGAACAGG